rnacentral:lncRNA from 1 species
AAAACCAGGGUGUGACAGGAAGAGAAUGAGGGAUCCAAGGGCGGGUCUCAAUCUCUCUGCUCUAUAAAGACGGCAAUAAUAAAGCAGCCAGAUGGGGUUAUGAGACACCUGCCAGGUGCCCGUCACCCCGACCCCCCUGACUCCACAACCAGAAGGCAGUACCUUGCUUGUGCAGCCACGGAGGCUGCGGCCUGUAGGUAGCAGGUCCAGGGUCUGCUCCUAGGAAUGUCCGACCAUGCCACGUGAGCUCUUCAGGACUCCAGCCCGCUUGGUCUCCAACCAGGUAAGUCUGGGCGGGUUAAGAGAGGUUCUGGUGACCAGGUAUCUCUUUCCAAAGUCCUGGACGUUCUGGUGGGACGGAGUGUGACCCUGGGAGGGAGAACACACCACACACAAGGGUUCCUUUCCUUUUCUAGUCACGGAUCGUAAUUCUGAGAAAGUUCCCUUGGUGGGAUUCAGGCAAUAUUCCGGAGUUUGUUGUCUUCACUUCCUGCAAGAGAGGUGAUCAAUUUUAGAACCAACCCCCUCUGUGCCAAGAUGACAACUGGGAGGAAAGGGAUUGGUUUUUUAGCUGCUGGGCAUGCUGGGCAGGCCCCCACCCACCUCCUUGGGGCCACUUAUUGACGUUGAAAUAUCUCAACAAUAAGCGGCUAUUGAUGGCCCUGAGGUCAAUACCGAGAUUCAUUGACCCGGGCUGCAAAUAUGGAAGGCGGUGAGUCCAAGGUCACUAUUUACCUGAAGGGAAGAAAAAUAAAUCUUGAUAAGAACCAAAAAUAGAAAUCAAUAUGCGUACUGUGGUGUGCAUCGCAUUACCUCGUUGCAGCAGAGGGCUAUUU